rnacentral:misc_RNA from 1 species
GCCACUCCAACUCCUAAUAAGUCAGAAGAUUUCUGUUAUAUUUUUCAAAUACACUUUUCAGUCAUUUUCUUUAUAAAUCAGUGCAAUUACUUCUGUGACAUAAGCUUAUUGUAUGGAGCAUCAUAGUACCGUUUCCGAUUCUCUAUCUUGGCAAUAACUGCAACUUAAAUUAUGCAUUAUUCCAUCGAAAUCAGCAGUCAGCAUGGUCGUUUUGGUGCAUAUUUAUCAGCAUAUGAGUUAUGUAACAAUGCCAAUGAUUUGUUAUCCAUUG